CUGAACAGGUCUAAGGCUCACUUGCCCUAUGGUAUGGCACUCAUCCUGAUCUUUAGGAGGUUCGAAGUCAAUUUUGAGGGGGAGACAGUUGCCAGAUUAUCUCAUUCCGACACCAUCAAUUGCCACACACUGCACCACAUGGGUUUUUCAAAGACUGAUGGCGGUUGGUCAAAGGGUGUCGAGGAAAUAGCAGAGGAGCCAGCUGAGGAG
rnacentral:lncRNA from 1 species